rnacentral:tRNA from 1 species
UGGCUCAGUUGGUAGAGCAUGGCGCUUGCAAUGCCAGGGUUGUGGGUUCAACUCCCAC